CGGACGGGUGAGUAACGCGUAGGAAUCUACCUUGUAGUGGGGGAUAACUUGGGGAAACCCAAGCUAAUACCGCAUGAGCCCUAAGGGGGAAAGCAUGGGACCGUAAGGCCAUGCGCUAUGAGAUGAGCCUGCGUCGGAUUAGCUAGUUGGUGGGGUAAAGGCCUACCAAGGCGAGGAUCCGUAGCUGGUCUGAGAGGACGACCAGCCACACUGGGACUGAGACACGGCCCAG
rnacentral:rRNA from 1 species